UACGGAGGAUGCAAGCGUUAUCCGGAAUCAUUGGGCGUAAAGCGUCCGUAGGUGGCGUUUCAAGUCUGCUGUCAAAGCACAAGGCUUAACCUUGUAAAGGCAGUGGAAACUGAAAGAGCUAGAGUGCGGUAGGGGUAGAGGGAAUUCCCAGUGUAGCGGUGAAAUGCGUAGAGAUUGGGAAGAACACCGGUGGCGAAAGCGCUCUACUGGGCCUGCACUGACACUGAGGGACGAAAGCUAAGGGAGCGAAAGGG
rnacentral:rRNA from 1 species